UUUCGAUACACACGUCAAAUUUGGCGGGCGAUUUGGCGGGCUUUCUUCUGAUUGGCUGGUUUUUGUCAAUGGGCGGUACCUACAAUACGUCGACUCCAAGGUCCGCCCACACCGUCUCCAGACCUUCAGGACGUUUAAAAAUGAAAUACUGGAGGAGGAAGUCGCUGCUUGGUGGACUAACUAACGGAGUAAACACAUACAGGGUCUUGAUGAGGAAAUGCAUUCAACAGUUUGUGGAGCUUCAAAUUCCCCAUCCACAGUCAAAAAUAUUAAUGAGGUGCUGACCGACAGCAACCAGAGCCAGUCAGCUGUGAGCGACCAGAAUCAGACAAGUCCAGUGGUCAGUCCACCUAACA